GGGGAUGUAGCUCAGUGGCAGAGUAUAUGCUUUGCAAGUACAAGGCCCCAAGUUUGAUCCCUGGCAUCUCCA
rnacentral:tRNA from 1 species